rnacentral:rRNA from 1 species
UGGGGAAUAUUGCACAAUGGGCGCAAGCCUGAUGCAGCCAUGCCGCGUGUGUGAAGAAGGCCUUCGGGUUGUAAAGCACUUUCAGCGGGGAGGAAGGCGGUGAGGUUAAUAACCUCAUCGAUUGACGUUACCCGCAGAAGAAGCACCGGCUAACUCCGUGCCAGCAGCCGCGGUAAUACGGAGGGUGCAAGCGUUAAUCGGAAUUACUGGGCGUAAAGCGCACGCAGGCGGUCUGUCAAGUCGGAUGUGAAAUCCCCGGGCUCAACCUGGGAACUGCAUUCGAAACUGGCAGGCUAGAGUCUUGUAGAGGGGGGUAGAAUUCCAGGUGUAGCGGUGAAAUGCGUAGAGAUCUGGAGGAAUACCGGUGGCGUAGGCGGCCCCCUGGACAAAGACUGACGCUCAGGUGCGAAAGCGUGGGGAGCAAACAGG